UAGGGAAUCUUCCGCAAUGGACGCAAGUCUGACGGAGCAACGCCGCGUGAGUGAAGACGGAUUUCGGUUUGUAAAACCUUGUUGUUAGAGAAGAACAGCGCAUAGUGUAACUGUUAUGCGUGUGACGGUAUCUAACCAGAAAGCCACGGCUAACUACGUGCCAGCAGCCGCGGUAAUACGUAGGUGGCAAGCGUUGUCCGGAUUUAUUGGGCGUAAAGCGAGCGCAGGCGGUCAAUUAAGUCUGAUGUGAAAGCCCCCGGCUCAACCGGGGAGGGUCAUUGGAAACUGGUUGACUUGAGUGCAGAAGAGGAGAGUGGAAUUCCAUGUGUAGCGGUGAAAUGCGUAGAUAUAUGGAGGAACACCAGUGGCGAAGGCGACUCUCUGGUCUGUAACUGACGCUGAGGCUCGAAAGCGUGGGUAGCAAACAGG
rnacentral:rRNA from 1 species